CACCGCUGUUAUACGAAAGACUCCAGUAGAUAGAUACGGCGUAAAGGGUGGUUAGGAUAACAACAAAAUAAAGCUAAAGACUUACCAAGCCGUCAUACGCCCACGGAAGGCCGAAAAUCACAAACGAAAGUAACUUUAUUAUAUCAUCCGAACCCACGAAAGCUAAGAAA
rnacentral:rRNA from 1 species